UUAAAUUGAAGAGUUUGAUCAUGGCUCAGAUUGAACGCUGGCGGCAGGCCUAACACAUGCAAGUCGAACGGUAACAGAAAGAAGCUUGCUUCUUUGCUGACGAGUGGCGGACGGGUGAGUAAUGUCUGGGAAACUGCCUGAUGGAGGGGGAUAACUACUGGAAACGGUAGCUAAUACCGCAUAACGUCGCAAGACCAAAGAGGGGGACCUU
rnacentral:rRNA from 1 species